GUGGGGAAUCUUCCGCAAUGGACGAAAGUCUGACGGAGCAACGCCGCGUGAGUGAUGAAGGUCUUCGGAUUGUAAAGCUCUGUUAAUCGGGACGAAAGAGCCUAGUGUGAAUAAUGCUAGGAAGUGACGGUACCGGAAUAGAAAGCCACGGCUAACUACGUGCCAGCAGCCGCGGUAAUACGUAGGUGGCAAGCGUUGUCCGGAAUUAUUGGGCGUAAAGCGCGCGCAGGCGGAUCUGCCAGUCUGUCUUAAAAGUUCGGGGCUUAACCCCGUGAUGGGAUGGAAACUACAGAUCUAGAGUAUCGGAGAGGAAAGUGGAAUUCCUAGUGUAGCGGUGAAAUGCGUAGAUAUUAGGAAGAACACCAGUGGCGAAGGCGAUUUUCUGGACGAAAACUGACGCUGAGGCGCGAAAGCCAGGGGAGCGAACGGGAUUAGAUACCCCGGUAGUCC
rnacentral:rRNA from 1 species